rnacentral:rRNA from 1 species
GACGAACGCUGGCGGCGUGCUUAACACAUGCAAGUCGAACGAUGAAGCCGGAGCUUGCACUGGUGAAUUAGUGGCGAACGGGUGAGUAACACGAGAGUAACCUGCCCUUGACUCUGGGAUCACUGCGGGAAACGGUAGCUAAUACCGGAUACGACUCUCGGAGGCAUCUCCGGGGGGUGGAAAGAAUUUCGAUCAAGGAUGGACUCGCGGCCUAUCAGCUAGUUGGUUAGGUAAAGGCUCACCAAGGCGACGACGGGUAGCCGGCCUGAGAGGGCGACCGGCCACACUGGGACUGAGACACGGCCCAGACUCCUACGGGAGGCAGCAGUGGGGAAUAUUGCGCAAUGGGCGAAAGCCUGACGCAGCAACGCCGCGUGCGGGAUGACGGCCUUCGGGUUGUAAACCGCUUUCAGCAGGGAGGAAGCCGCAAGGUGACGGUACCUGCAGAAGAAGCACCGGCUAACUACGUGCCAGCAGCCGCAGUAA